rnacentral:rRNA from 1 species
UACGAAGGUCCCGAACGUUGUUCGGAAUCACUGGGCUUAAAGGGCGCGUAGGCGGGCUAUCAAGUCCGGGGUGAAAUCCUCCAGCUCAACUGGAGAACGGCCUCGGAUACUGAUGGUCUCGAGGGAGAUAGGGGCACGCGGAACUGUGGGUGGAGCGGUGAAAUGCGUUGAUAUCCAUAGGAACUCCGGUGGCGAAGGCGGCGUGCUGGAUCUCUUCUGACGCUGAGGCGCGAAAGCCAGGGGAGCGAACGGG